GGGGUUGUGGCUCAGCGGUAGAGUGCUCGCCUAGCAUGCGUGAGGCCUUGGGUUCGAUCCUCAGCACCA
rnacentral:tRNA from 1 species